CCUACGGGAGGCAGCAGUGGGGAAUAUUGCACAAUGGGCGAAACCCUGAUGCAGCAACGCCGCGUGAAGGAAGACGGUUUUCGGAUUUUUAAAUUCUUUUUAUCGGGAAGAAAGAAAUGACGGUACCUAAAUAAGGAGCCUCGGCUAACUACGUGCCAGCAGCCGCUGCAAUACGUAGGGCGCAAGCGUUAUCCGGAAUUACUGGGUGUAAAGGGAGAGUAGGCGGCGAGGUAAGCGAUAUGUGAAAGCCUUAAGCUUAACUUAAGGAUGGCAUAAAGAACUAUCUAGCUAGAGUACAGGAGAGGAAAGCGGAAUGCGUAGUGUAGCGGUGAAAUGCGUAGAUAUUAGGAAGAACACCAGUGGCGAAGGCGGCUUUCUGGACUGAAACUGACGCUGAGGCUCGAAAGCGUGGGGAGCGAACAGGAUUAGAUACCCCUGUAGUC
rnacentral:rRNA from 1 species